UACGCAGGGGGCUAGCGUUGCUCGGAAUCACUGGGCGUAAAGGGUGCGUAGGCGGGUCUUUAAGUCCGGGGUGAAAUCCUGGAGCUCAACUCCAGAACUGCCUUUGAUACUGAAGAUCUUGAGUCCGGGAGAGGUGAGUGGAACUGCGAGUGUAGAGGUGAAAUUCGUAGAUAUUCGCAAGAACACCAGUGGCGAAGGCGGCUCACUGGCCCGGUACUGACGCUGAGGCACGAAAGCGUGGGGAGCAAACAGG
rnacentral:rRNA from 1 species